CUAUGCAUCCAUAACUGAAGAGUCACAUGGGUAAAUGAAAUGACUUUUUCAAUCAGUGUGAGAUUUCAAAAGCCGGUACCACUAUUAUAUUGAUUCAUCCCCUCUCUCUAAUUCAUCCUCACUCCGCCACUCUUGCCACCACCAACACUGAUUUCGACUUCAAGGUGUUGGUUCGUUUUAAUACCCUAAUUUUGAAGAUAAUUGUUUAAUCUUUUGAAGAAAUGAGCAAUAACCCUUCAAAUGAUUUUCAAGUUGCACUAAAGCAACUAUGUGUUGGGGAAAUUUUUUACUAGGGAGCAUUGAACAUUGAGACUUCUUCUUUUUAGAGCAACACCUUUGUGAGAGAUACGUCACAUAUUCACCUAAAAUCUGUAAGGUAAUAGGUGAGUGAGUUCUCUCACUUAUAAAUGCUCAAAUCUCCACAUUUCCAACCAAUAUAGAACUAUUAUCCACACUACUCACACUUGACAUAUUCUCAACACUCCCCUUUAAGUGUGCGUCUACAAUGCUCCCCUUCAAGUGAAAGUUCUUCUUACUUCCACAAACUCUUGUACCGCACAAAACGUUUCUUAUUCACCAUACUAACGAUGUUGACACUCUUCAGCAAAACGUUUCUUAUUCACCACACUAGCGCUGUUGACUUUCGAUACAAGUAAGUCGGUCCAUUUCUCGAACCAAAGACUCUGAUACCAUUUGUUGGGGGGAUUUUUCACUAGAGAGCAUUAAACAUUGUGGGACUUAUUCUUUUUAGAGUAACACAUUUGUGAGACACACGCUACAUAUUCACCUAAAAUCUUAAGGUAAUAGAUGUGUGAAUUCUCUCACUUAUAAAUGCUCAAAUCUCCAUAUUUCCAACCAAUAUGAGACUAUUAUCCACACUACUCACAUUUGAUAAAUUCUCAAUAGUAUGUUGUAUGUUUUGGCUAUAAUAAAAUUUAGCAUUUAAGUUAUUCGCCUCUCUCUAAUUUUCCAUCUUCCUUCCGUGUUUAGACUCUUUGUUUUUCUUAUUUGUAUGAUAUCAGGUCUUGCAAAGAAAGACACAACUUAGCUCUUGCCAAAAUUUGAGU